GCCCCUGUCGUCUAGCGGUCUAGGACAUCGCCCUCUCACGGCGGUAACACCGGUUCAAAUCUGGUCGGGGGUA
rnacentral:tRNA from 1 species